rnacentral:rRNA from 1 species
AUGGCUCAGAACGAACGCUGGCGGCAUGGAUUAGGCAUGCAAGCUGAACGAACUCCUUCGGGAGUGAGUAGCGGAAGGGUGAGGAACGCGUGAGUAAUCUGCCCCCCAGUUGGGAAUAACAGUUGGAAACGACUGCUAAUACCGAAUGUGGCUUAAGCUUCGCCUGGAGCUUUGGCUAAAGAUUUAUCGCUGGGGGAUGAGCUCGCGUCCCAUUAGGUAGUUCGGUGAGGUAACGGCUCACCAAGCCGACGAUGGGUAGCUGGUCUGAGAGGAUGGUCAGCCACACUGGGACUGAGACACUGCCCAGACUCCUACGGGAGGCUGCAGUCGAGAAUCUUGGGCAAUGCGCGAAAGCGUGACCCAAGCAAUGCCGCGUGUAUGAUGAAGGCCCUCGGGUCGUAAAGUACUGUCUCCCGUGACGAAAUUUGACGGUAGCGGGGAGGGAAGCCACGGCUAACUACGUGCCAGCAGCUGC